rnacentral:rRNA from 1 species
CCGAAAAGUGCCACCUGACGUCUAAGAAACCAUUAUUAUCAUGACAUUAACCUAUAAAAAUAGGCGUAUCACGAGGCCCUUUCGUCUCGCGCGUUUCGGUGAUGACGGUGAAAACCUCUGACACAUGCAGCUCCCGGAGACGGUCACAGCUUGUCUGUAAGCGGAUGCCGGGAGCAGACAAGCCCGUCAGGGCGCGUCAGCGGGUGUUGGCGGGUGUCGGGGCUGGCUUAACUAUGCGGCAUCAGAGCAGAUUGUACUGAGAGUGCACCAUAUGCGGUGUGAAAUACCGCACAGAUGCGUAAGGAGAAAAUACCGCAUCAGGCGCCAUUCGCCAUUCAGGCUGCGCAACUGUUGGGAAGGGCGAUCGGUGCGGGCCUCUUCGCUAUUACGCCAGCUGGCGAAAGGGGGAUGUGCUGCAAGGCGAUUAAGUUGGGUAACGCCAGGGUUUUCCCAGUCACGACGUUGUAAAACGACGGCCAGUGAAUUCGAGCUCGGUACCCGGGGAUCCUCUAGAGAUUAGAUGUUGGGUUAAGUCCCGCAACGAGCGCAACCCUUGAUCUUAGUUGCCAUCAUUUAGUUGGGCACUCUAAGGUGACUGCCGGUGACAAACCGGAGGAAGGUGGGGAUGACGUCAAAUCAUCAUGCCCCUUAUGACCUGGGCUACACACGUGCUACAAUGGACGGUACAAAGAGCUGCAAGACCGCGAGGUGGAGCUAAUCUCAUAAAACCGUUCUCAGUUCGGAUUGUAGGCUGCAACUCGCCUACAUGAAGCUGGAAUCGCUAGUAAUCGCGGAUCAGCAUGCCGCGGUGAAUACGUUCCCGGGCCUUGUACACACCGCCCGUCACACCACGAGAGUUUGUAACACCCGAAGUCGGUGGGGUAACCUUUUUGGAGCCAGCCGCCUAAGGUGGGACAGAUGAUUGGGGUGAAGUCGUAACAAGGUAACCCCUGUGUGAAAUUGUUAUCCGCUCACAAUUCCACACAACAUACGAGCCGGAAGCAUAAAGUGUAAAGCCUGGGGUGCCUAAUGAGUGAGCUAACUCACAUUAAUUGCGUUGCGCUCACUGCCCGCUUUCCAGUCGGGAAACCUGUCGUGCCAGCUGCAUUAAUGAAUCGGCCAACGCGCGGGGAGAGGCGGUUUGCGUAUUGGGCGCUCUUCCGCUUCCUCGCUCACUGACUCGCUGCGCUCGGUCGUUCGGCUGCGGCGAGCGGUAUCAGCUCACUCAAAGGCGGUAAUACGGUUAUCCACAGAAUCAGGGGAUAACGCAGGAAAGAACAUGUGAGCAAAAGGCCAGCAAAAGGCCAGGAACCGUAAAAAGGCCGCGUUGCUGGCGUUUUUCCAUAGGCUCCGCCCCCCUGACGAGCAUCACAAAAAUCGACGCUCAAGUCAGAGGUGGCGAAACCCGACAGGACU